UACGUAGGGGGCGAGCGUUGUCCGGAUUCAUUGGGCGUAAAGAGCUCGUAGGCGGCUUGGUAAGUCGGGUGUGAAACCCCCGGGCUCAACCUGGGGCCGCCACUCGAUACUGCCAUGGCUAGAGUCCGGUAGGGGCCUGUGGAAUUCCUGGUGUAGCGGUGAAAUGUGCAGAUAUCAGGAGGAACACCGGUGGCGAAGGCGGCAGGCUGGGCCGGUACUGACGCUGAGGAGCGAAAGCGUGGGGAGCAAACAGG
rnacentral:rRNA from 1 species